AGAGUUUGAUCCUGGCUCAGAUUGAACGCUGGCGGCAUGCUUUACACAUGCAAGUCGAACGGCAGCAUGGGGGCAACCCUGAUGGCGAGUGGCGAACGGGUGAGUAAUAUAUCGGAACGUACCCGAGAGUGGGGGACAACCAGUCGAAAGAUUGGCUAAUACCGCAUACGAUCUACGGAUGAAAGUGGGGGACCUUCGGGCCUCACGCUCCUGGAGCGGCCGAUAGCUGAUUAGCUAGUUGGUGGGGUAAAGGCCUACCAAGGCGAUGAUCAGUAGCUGGUCUGAGAGGACGAUCAGCCACACUGGGACUGAGACACGGCCCAGACUCCUACGGGAGGCAGCAGUGGGGAAUUUUGGACAAUGGGGGCAACCCUGAUCCAGCAAUGCCGCGUGAGUGAAGAAGGCCUUCGGGUUGUAAAGCUCUUUUGUCAGGGAAGAAAAGGACCGGGUUAAUACCCUGGUUUCAUGACGGUACCUGAAGAAUAAGCACCGGCUAACUACGUGCCAGCAGCCGCGGU
rnacentral:rRNA from 1 species